UGUGUAUUGUGAAUUUAUGUAGGUUUCAUUGGUUCCUCAUGGUGAUUUGUCCUGCUAAUAACACAAUCUUUCACCUUGAUUCAGCUCGAUCAACAAAGAAGUACCUCGUGAUGUCUGUACUACAAAAUAUUAUGAAGAAGAUACAUGGUCGUGCUCCACGGGGUCCUACAUGGAAAUCACCUAUGUGCCCACAACAAGAUAAUGGAGUUGAUUGUGGAUUAUACGUGAUGAGAUUCAUGCUUGACAUAGCGACUCAUUGU